UCCUGAAUCAAAGCCACUAAUUCAGAAUUCUUUGUCUUUAAGGUGGAGGACAAAGAAGCCUCAAGAGCUUGUAACAAAGAUGAUGAUGUGGGAAACCAUGUCCCCCUGUUCUCCCAGGUGCCAUCAAGACCAUUGCCAGACCUACCACGUCAGCAGUCCUGCAGACAGUGAGGGGUGACGUGGCUGUCACUCCUUCACCAGCUCAGGCAUUCUCAGAGCUCUGGCUUUGCACCCUGUACUAUUCUGUACCUGUGUUUGGGGACACGGACAUCUCACCAGAAUCCUUAUUGAAAAGCAGCACAGUAAUGGUAUUUAGAACAUUAUGCAAAGGAAUACACAUCAAAAUACCUGGAAUGAUGGUUCAUCAAAGACUUGAAAUUCACAGUGUUGCCCAGUCCUCUUUUUGGUGAUCUUUUGGAGUCUUUUCCGUAACUGGUGUGUUGCUGAAAGAUAAGUGUGAGAUAGUUAAUAGGAUCCUCCCAGCACUGAGCACCUCUGGCAGUUCACUGCAUUUUUGGAAUUCACACUUUCAGUUUGUCAUUCCCCAAACAGUCCCAGCUCUUCACCUUCUGUGCUUCAGUUUCCUAAUGUAUCACUUCCGUGCCACUGUUCUCUUUGGGCAGUGCUGCUCAUGUUUAAAGGCCUGUGGAAACAAGAGUCAGGACCAAGCAGGCUCAAAGAGUGCAAAGCUCUGUUUUUCUGGUAGUGAAAUAGUGGUUUAAAUACAGCCAAAUCCUGUGUCUGUAACAGUACUGCAUUUAAGGACAAGAAUUCUUUUAAGAGCUAUUUUUUUGCCAUUCUUGUGAAUCUGAAGCAAUAGUUUUGCUGGUUUGUGCUGUGUAAUUUCAAUAUGCAGCAACCACUCCAAGUUGGAUAAUCUGGAAUCCACGCACGCUUUGCAGUUCCAAGAUAAUUUGAUCUGAAUAGCAGUUUCAUGUAAAUGUUUUGGCAGUAAUGAAAAUAUCCUCAACAUUACUACUUGCAGCUUGAAACACCAGUAAUGAUUUUAUGUGUUGGCAAUGAAAGAACAUGAUAGGCAGGUUAAAAUC
rnacentral:lncRNA from 1 species